AAUAAUUUAUUUGAUGGUUUCUUACUACAUGGAUAACUGUAGUAAUUCUAGAACUAAUACAUGCGUAAAGUCCCGACUCUUGCGGGGAGGGAUGUAUUUAUUAGAUAAAAAACCAAUGCGGACUCUGUCCGGUUUUGUGGUGAAUCAUAGUAACUUUUCGAAUCGCAUGGCUUCACGCCGGCGAUAGUUCAUUCAAAUUUCUGCCCUAUCAGCUUUCGACGGUAGUGUAAUGGACUACCGUGGCGUUAACGGGUAACGGAGAAUUAGGGUUCGAUUCCGGAGAGGGAGCCUGAGAAACGGCUACCACA
rnacentral:rRNA from 1 species